UCGGCACUAUUUUUUUCUGCACAGCGCAAAUCAAAUGACAUCAUGAAUUUCUCUAAACCUCGAGGGUGACACAGCCCUUUGGAAUCCAGUGCUGUGAGCGCUCAGUGCUUGUGAGUAGCCGGGCUGCGUCCCUGCCUCCCCAACUCAGGCAGAGCAGAGGCCUCAGGCUUUCAGGGAGUGAACAGGAAGGAAAACACAGGAGCCAGCAGAUACCGAGAAAGCGUCUGCUGAGUUUGAGUCCUGGCCCAGUGGGUUGUGCCAGCAGGAAAGUGACUUCCAUGGGACGAGGCGUAUCACCUGCACCCAAGGCGCAGGGAGCGGUGGUCACAUUUCGUGCACCUAGAGAUUCUUGGGGACCCUCAAGAGCUGCGUCUCCUCUCGUCCUGAUGGCACCUGGUGCAGCAUGACUUCUGGACACAUCCCUGGGAUGCCAGUGAGAUUUCUGCCCAUCAAGGGCGCCCAGCAGGAAAAUCCAGCCAGAAGGAAGAGAGCUAAGCACACAAGGAUCCAAGGAUCUGAGCAGGCCCCGCCCGACUCAGGGGUGAGGCUGACCUCCCAGGACGGACAGAGGAGAUUACUUCACAGAAAAGCAUUGUGGGGUCAAAGCAGAGCAGGGCUCAAAGAGCCAUUUUAAUCGACUUUUUCUGCAAUCAAAACAUUCAGCCGCUUGCUCACGCUAGGACGCUCUGUUCUUCGAACAUGGACCCUCGGCCUUGCUGAUGAACACCUGCCCCCACACUGCCUCUCCUGCCUGAGCUUCUUUCCAAAGACCCAGCGCACACAAGACUUCACUCGUGUGUGUCGUGUGUUGUGCUCGCCUGCACUUGGGCACAUCCCUGUGGAGUGUCAAGCGACCCACUCAAGAGCCGCAUUCCAGCCCUCUCAUGGCAGCUGGCCUGUCCCUGUGUGGGGACUCGGCACGGGACGUGGUAUUUAUAGUCCGCAUCGCGGGUCCCGCCUCACCACGCGUUUCUGCAGCAGGAGAGAGCGAGCCACAUGGAUCCCGACCGUGAAUGAAUAAGACUCCUUCCCUUGCCCAUUAGCCCCGGAGUCAGCCUUUGGUCAUCUAAGGCAAGUCCUUGUCCACAGCAAACCAACCAAGCGCCACCUCAGGAAGCCACUUUUUGCAACAGUCUUCACAUGUGGAUGAUACAAAGGCAUUUGAAAAGUCAGGAUCAAUGACCACUCUGCUGCCACGAUUUCCCCCUUUCCGCAUGGAUGUUGACCCUUCAGAAGUUUGGUUGUGUUAGGACGGCGUGCCAUCUCCUCCCUGAGGUCCCGCUGCCCUCCAUCCAGAAGGCGGGCUCCAUGGACACGCCCUAUACUCUGCUUUUCACUGAGAGUGGGCAGCAGGUUCACCCAAGAGCUGUGAGCAAAUCCGCUGAGGGACUGGCUCCCUCCACCCCCAGGGUUCCAUCCUUCAAGCCCACGAUGGCUUUCCUGCUCCAUCCACGGUUGGGCUCGCAGGGUGGGUCAACUGCACUGUGCGGUGGAAUCCUGUCUCCCAGCUGUAACCUGUCACCUGCCCCAUGACCUGCACGGCCUCCCCGAUCUGCUCACAUCAGUGUUUACAGACUGUGUUCUGCUCCACAGAAAGGAGUGUCCCGUGGUUGAAUACUUAUGGAAGCCUCUGGAGAUUAUAGUCCCCUGUAAGAGAUCCAGAAAGCGUACUCAAAAUGCACAGAACUCCCGCCGCACGGAAGCCCGUUCACAUUCGUGUCACCCCACACGUCCUGGGGGUCUUUGGACUGGAGCCAUCUUGCCCGUCUGCCCCAAGAGGGUGCCUCUCUGCCCACCGCGCCUCCCUCUCUGGCCCUGCUCUUCCAGCCUGAAAAGUCAGCCCACACCUCUUUCCCCAUAAAUCUUCCCCUCCUUUCACUGCCGACCGUGCACUCCCUCACAUUCCCUCAGCUCUCAAGGUCCCUGUAACACGAUGUACCAUCCGAUCUGAGAUGCAUGUUUUAUGGACGUUGGGCCAAGAGUCCUUUGAAAGUGGGAGUCACGUUCUGUUCCUUCCCUGUGCCUGGACCAGCACGGAGCAGGCACAGACCGGCCAGCACUCCUCAGCUGCUGGACCUUUUCCCAAUGCUUAGUCGCUCGGCGUCCCUCCUCCUGGAUGGCUUGGCUGGGUUUGCUCAUUAGUGCCUCUACCAGGGAUGAAGGGCGGGGGAUGAAAGGCAGAGCUGGCGCCCUGUGUCAUUAGCCAACUCCUAACAUGGUGCAGGGGUUUGCUUGGCCAAAGGGAAUUGUUUGUAUAUUUCUGUAUUUGAAGAGCCGAAGGAGAAAUUUCCUCUCCAGUGUGUGUCUGUGUGUCUGUCUGUGUCUGUGUAUAUGUGUGUCUCUGUCUGUAUAUCUACAGAUGUAUGUAUGUCUAUGUUAUGUCUGUAUACGUGUCUGCGUACAUGUCUAUGUAAGUGUGUACGUAUGUCUGCACAUGUCCAUGUGUGUCUCUGGAUAUUUGUGUGUGUCUGUUAUGUCUGUGUAUGUGUGUCUCUGUCUGUGUCUGUGUGUCUCUGAAUGACUCUGUGUAUGUAUGUUUAUGGAUGCAUGUUGUAUAUGUCUCUAGGCUUCUUUGUGUGUCUGUAUAUGUGUGUGUGUUUGUAGAUGUGUGUGUGCAUGGAUGUGGUGUCUACACUCAUGUGAACCCAGGGCACCCACAGUUGGUCCAGCCUACUCUCUGACACAGGACACCUGAGUCUUGCAGGCAUCCUGAGUGUCCUCAGUGAUGGCCAUGUCGUCGCAGCUUCCCCAUCCUCCCGGCCUCUGUCCCCUGGGUUUUCCACUGCACCACGGUGUCCAGACCCUGGAGCAGUAGGACACUGAGUUUCAACAUGUCCUCCAACUGCAGCCCACCGCUUGCAGCCUGGAGGGGACAGCCCAGCUGAGUUGCAUCUCUGCAUGUCCCAGGAACCCGGCCUGGCUCCAGAGCCAGCCCUGCCAGUUCUGUGGGGAGAUGCCUCUAGAAAUGUCACAACCAGCAUGUCACUGGCUUCUCCACCUCCUUUGCUUUCUAGACCAAAUGAUGACCAGACGUGGGCCUGGGCCACUCAGCUCUUCAGAGGCUCUGGGCCUUGCCCGCACCAAUUCACCGAGUGGGAAGCCCUGGAGGGGUGGCCCUCAGUGCCCACACCACAUCGGUCCACGAUGGAAGCUUUACCUGCUCGGCCAUCCCUUGGCGUGGCGACUUUCAUUUCUUGCAAAUGAUGAUGAUCUCUUCUUUCUUUCCCUGGAGACCUCAAACAUUCCUCUUUACAUUUGAAGUUCCCAAAUGAAUAUUUUUAAAAUGUAUUCUGCUGUGAAUUUGCCUUGUAAAUAGGGCCGGCUACCUCAUUUGCAGGACUCAGUGCAUUUUAAAAUGUGGGACCCUUGUUCAAAAGGCAGGAAAACAGCACUUAAUGAUACCAAAAUAUAAAGCUCUCCUUUCCUCCAUUUUUUCUUGACUUGCCGUGGUGUUUUUGUUACUUAAUGUCGUUGCAAGUAAAGAAAAGUGAAAAUUUUAAAUUAUUAGCAUGUCUUAGCAUUCACCUUUAUAUUGUGCAAUGCCAGUUUUAAAUGCAAAUUCGAGUGCAUUUAACUCGCACGAGGAACCAUUGAAAUUACGUAGUUUGUAUUUUGUAGCUUGUACACACAUGAGUAUUUCAUUUUUACCAGAACAGGGGAAAUGCUGCACAAAACCCAUCCCAUCAUCUUUAGUUCACGUCUUGACACCGUGGCUUAGUGAGGAGAAGGGCAGGACUGAAGGAUAGGCGCUAUGGGCCCCCUCUUCCCUUCCAUCCUGCGUCAUCACUUUCAGACAAGUGGCUGUCUGACCAGGGACGUUCAAUGGGGAGAAAGAAUAGGACAAGUGCCUGGGCCAUUCGUGUUUCUGAGAAGGUCACUGCCUUCUUUUGCAUUUGAAGCGAGUUCAGCUUCAAGUGGCGCGUCUGGCUUCUCAGAGCUGUCAGUGCCCCACUUACUCAGCUGUAAAGGGGACGCGCUUACCUGUACUUGCUUGCAGUCUUGCCAAACUGCAUGCAUCUUUGGUCCACACUCUGUGUUUAUGGGGCAUUGUGAACACAAAUGGGACAGCAAGAACCGGCAGACAGCAGCUCCACGUGGCUUCUUCUCUGCUAACACACACCCUCCAUUGUCUCAUAGGACUUCACUGACAAAACAAAUCCCAAAUCAAAUUAUUAACAAUUCCAAGAUGGUGUCCACAGAGCAUGAUGUCAGGUGGAAGCCCUUUUGAGUGUAGAGCCCGUGUGACGGUGAAGGCCACACAGCUGUGAGGCCGGCCCCGCACAGAACUGAGAAAGUCCUGAUACGCGCUCUUCUGUUGGUUAGCUGAGUACCUUCUUCCCUGGAUUCUGCCUGUUCCCUGGGACUCCUGGUAAAUACAUGACGAGACUUCUGGCCCUCCCCUUCAUGUGCCCACUUCUCCCUCUGAUCGUGAUCUCUUUGUCCUUAUGAACAUUCUUCAAGAAACCCUUGAUCUUUCAGUUCAAUACUUCAUCCUUCAAUGUGUCUGUUCAAUCAUUUUUUAAAUUUUGAAGUUUUAUAGUUCUUUUUCUAACAGCCUCAUCUUGUUUUGUGGAUGGUUUAUAUUCUCUAAUCUCCUGGACUAUAUUAAUGAUAAUUACCUUGAAGACUUUCAUCUUAGUCUGCAUUGGCUCUUCCAGUUGUUGAGUUUGAUUGCCACUUUCCCAUAGCGUCCAUUUUGCUCCAACUAUCCGUUCAUCUUGCUUGGCUAUCUACUUUCCUUUCUGUUUGGGAAUCCUCGGCCAGCAUGGUUGUCUGGGCUCCGUUUUCUCAUUUGUAAAAUAAGGGCCUCAAGCAGAUCAGCGGCUUUCCACUCUUUUUAGCUUUGGGAAAUGUCAAAUGAGAACUUAUUUGUGAAAGCACAGUGUGUAAGUGGAGGGGGUACAGCAAUCAUCACGGCAGGUGACCUUGAAGGUCCCUCCUGCGACCCCACUCAAGACAGGCCUGGCCCUGGGGCUCCUGGGCCCUUCCACACAGCCUGACCCAGCAGCUAAUGGACCAGGUCAUCCAGAUGGUCAUUUCAGGCUCAAUAUUAUGGGAUUCCUUGUGGGGAGCACAUAGAUUGGAACUUCUGUGAAAUGCCUCCCUGCAUGUCCAUUUUGGCAUGGUUCUAGAGAUGGAAGGGUCCCCUGGCAGACAGACUCCCAACGACUUGCUCAAUACCACCCUCUGGAUGGGAACAGAACUCCCAUCAGUGGCUUCCAGAUAAAGUCUCGACAAAGAAAGCCACACAGAACAGUGGUGACGUCAGUUCUGUAAAACUCACAAUUACAUUCUUUUCUUUAAGUGGACCUCCUGAUUUCAAAGGGAUCAUUUCCAAAAAAGACUGGGCCGGGCUCCAGUCUUGGCCUCUGUGGAUAAUAUCAAAGUAGAUGCUAUAAAUUAGUAAAUUCAUGGCAGUCUAUCAUAAACGAGACAAAACGGCCUUUGCUGCGAGACCCCACGGCUGCUCUUCCUCAGCCCGUGCGGAGCAGACGCCAGGUGGGACGGGGCUCCGUGGACCUGCUGUCUAGUUUCUGAUCUAGAAACAAGUCAAAGCACCAGUGUGGAAAUACCUGCUGUUCUUAAAAUAGGUCUAUGUGGCUCAGUGUUUUUUGUUUUUCCUUAAGGGCACUUGAGAUUCAACACAAAAAUGAGGAAGUGAAAGCUUUGAAUUGGUUUGUCCUCUUUUAUCAUCUUGGGGAGGAUGGUUCUUUUUUGUAAGUGUUUCUGGGAGGAAAAUUGAAUUUAUUUCUCUUAAGAGGUCAGUUUUACAUGAAUCAAACUAGUAACAACAACAAUAUUAAUAAUAAUAAUAAUAAAUCCUGUUCAGAACCUCGAGAAAGUCUGCAGCUGGAGACUGGUCUUCCCUCGGCUCUGGAGGUGUCCGGCUCAUCGGCCUCCCCAGGGUCUCUCCUCCUUGCACCCUGGGACGAAGGGCUGCCCCUCACGCCUCUGCUUCAUCUUGAACUCUGAUCUCCUUGUCCUUUAGCA
rnacentral:lncRNA from 1 species